CCCCGAAGACUGGGAUAACACCGGGAAACCGGUGCUAAUACCGGAUGUCCUCCUCUGGUCGCAUGGCCUAUGGAGGAAAGACUGCACCUCAGAAAUGCAGUUUGCUUCGGGAGGGGCUCGCGGGCUAUCAGCUUGUUGGUGAGGUAACGGCUCGCCAAGGCGACGACGGCUAGCUGGUCUGAGAGGACGACCAGCCACACUGGGACUGAGACACGGCCCAG
rnacentral:rRNA from 1 species